AGUGUUUCCCAUGCUGAUCACCUGCUGCAAAAUUCCCUCUAGAUUGUUGUGCAUGAGCAGUUUGAAAAGGCAUUAAUUCUCCACGUCAAUUUUCUGUAUCGGUGACUGGUGUUUGAAUUACAGCAAAGAACCUGCUGUAUCAUUGGCCUGUGAGCGGCAUUCCCACAGCAGCCACUGCUCCUCCUGCUGUUCCUGUUCAUCCUGCUGCUCCUGCUGCUCCUGCAAACCCAAACCUGCUGUAUCAUUGGCCUGUGAGCGGCAUUCCCACAGCAGCCACUGCUCCUCCUCCUGCUGCUCCUACUCCUCAUGUUUCUCCUGCUGCUCCUGCU